rnacentral:rRNA from 1 species
UACGGGGGGAGCAAGCGUUGUUCGGAUUUACUGGGCGUAAAGGGCGCGUAGGCGGCCACCGCAAGUCGGUUGUGAAAUCUCUGGGCUUAACCCAGAAAGGUCAACCGAUACUGCGGGGCUAGAGUGCAGAAGGGGCAACUGGAAUUCUCGGUGUAGCGGUGAAAUGCGUAGAUAUCGAGAGGAACACCUGCGGCGAAGGCGGGUUGCUGGACCAACACUGACACUGAGGAGCGAAAGCCAGGGGAGCAAACGGG